UUGGAUGAAAUGGAGGAGCCUGUGAAAUCAAAUCACUGUGGUUUCAAAUAUUGAAGGUAUGGACUGUGUACUCGAUCUGUAUGUCUCAUCCAUUGAAGGCAGGGUCCCGAAAUAUGAGAUUCUUUUCUUGAUGUGAUCAGUCGUGCUUGGCGGAGAUUCUUCAGCCACGGUAGUGUUUGUAAUGUUCUGUCGUAGCUAGCUAGCUAGCUAGCUAGGUUUCAUGGAAGGAGGCUUUUACCUUUGCCGUGAAACUUGUACAAGAAGAUGCACGGUUUCUGGGUUGUGUUUGUAGGCAAUCAAAUGAGUCCUCGGGUGACAUUUACAGGUAGAUUAGAAAUCAGGGAGUUCAGAGAACUAUAAAAAUUAGAUUCCGAAAAUAUUUCUAAGCACUUAAAGUUAAUAAAUGUGUUAGGGAGAGUUAAAAAUAAAGUUAUGAUUAGGCUAGGUACUUG
rnacentral:lncRNA from 1 species